UGAAGAAAAUACAUCAUUCGUUUCAAAACCUUGUGGGAAACUAUUAUGAGUCCUCCUUCAUUUUUUCAUCAAAAUGUCAUUUGGCAGAACAACAUGCUGGAUUGGGGCCAGUGAGAGCUGAUUGGACCGGACUGGAGUGGUUAAGUUGUUUGUGGGUGUAAGGUUUGAUGGAGCCUAUUUUGCUUUGAGUGAGCUGACUGGACAUUUACUGUAUGUGAGAUCUUUGUGGAUGUUGAUGUUUUGAGGUCUGAUUGAGCUGUUGUGAGUAAGAUUUUGGGGGGUUUUAAUCGAGCUGUUUUGAGGAUUCUUGGUGGUGUUGGAGUUUGAGGGCACUGUUUUGAGGUUUGAAGGAGCUGUUUUGGAGGCUGAGUGAGUUGUUUUGAUGUUAGAACGAGAUUCUUUGAGGUUUUAAUGAGUUGUUUGGUAUUUGGGUAAGCAGUGUUGGUAUUUUGAGUGAGUUGUUUGAGUUAGAGGUUUGGGGUUUUGAAUUUGUUUAUGGUUUGAGUGAGUUUGGGGUUUGAGUGAGUUGUUUGCGGUUUUGAUUGAGUUAUUUUGGGGUUUGAGUGAACAUGUUUGGUGUUUGAAUGUGCUUGGGGUUUGAGUGAUUUAUUUAGGGGUUUUGAAUGUGUUUGGGGUUUUGAUUGAGUUAUUUUGGGGUUUGAGUGAGUUGUUUGGGGUUGUGAGUGAGAAUAUUUUGGGUUUGAGUGAGCAGGUUGGGGAUUUUGAGUGAGUAUAUUUGGAGUUUGAAUGUGUUUGGGGUUUGAGUAAGCUGUUUUGGAGUUUGAGUGAGUUGUUUGGUGUUUGAGUGAGUUGUUUGGGGUUUUGAUGAGUGGUUGGGGGUUGAUUGGGUUGUUUGGGGUUUGAGUGAGUUGAUUGGUGUUUGAAUGAGCUGAUUGGUGUUUGAGUGAGUUGUUUUGGGUUUGAGUGAGUUGUUUGGUGUUUGAGUGAGUUGACUGGUGUUUGAGUGAUUGCUUUGGGGAUUUUGAGUGAGUUGUUUGGGGUUUUGAGUGAGAAUAUUUGGGGUUUGAGUGAGUUGUUUGGUGUUUGAGUGAGUUGUUUGGGGAUUUUGAGUGAGUUGUUUGUUGUUUGAGUGAGCAGUUUGGGGAUUUUGAGGGAGCUGGUUGGGGUUUGAGUGAGUUGUUUGGUGUUUGAGUGAGCAGUUUUUGGGUUUUGAGUGAGCAGUUUGGGGGGUUUGAGUGCGCAGGUUGGGGGUUUUGAGUGAGCAGUUUGGGGAUUUUGAGGGAGUUGUUUGGGGUUUGAGUAAGCAGUUUGGGGGGUUUGUGUGAGCAGUUUGGGGGGUUUGAGUGUGUUGUUUGGGGUUUGAGUGAGCAGGUUGGGGGUUUUGAGUGAGUAAAUUUGGGGUUUGAAUGUGUUUCGGGUUUGAGUAAGCUAUUUUGUAGUUUGAGUGAGUUAUUUUGCUGUUGUCAGUGUUUUCCCCCUAGGGGUUUGUUAGAGGUUGUUUCAAAACAUUAACUCAAAAAUUAUUUAUAGCAGUCAUUACUCUGUCAUGACUCAAAUAGUAGUGAGACAAAUUUGCUUCACAGAGUUGUAUCACAAUAUUUCAGUUUAAUAUUCAUUAUGUGCUCUAGCUCUUCUUACACACGAGGCGGCAGCACCAGAGGUACUAACAUACAGAUCGUGAAAUUUGCGAGUGGGCUCUUAACUGCCUUGAAGCAUGCUUACAUAAUAGUCCAAAAUGUUAAGCUAAUGAGAAGGAAGCGUUAUUGCACAUUGCAAUGCAUUUCUUGAACUUGUCGCACAUGAACUUCGGAAAAGAAUACCAAAAUGAUCCGGAAUGCACUAGUGCCCAACAUUUUCACACUGCAGAAUCCACAC
ensembl:lncRNA